rnacentral:rRNA from 1 species
AGCGAACGCUGGCGGCAGGCCUAACACAUGCAAGUCGAACGAACCUUUCGGGGUUAGUGGCGGACGGGUGAGUAACACGUGGGAACGUGCCUUUAGGUUCGGAAUAACUCAGGGAAACUUGUGCUAAUACCGAAUGUGCCCUUCGGGGGAAAGAUUAAUCGCCUUUAGAGCGGCCCGCGUCUGAUUAGCUAGUUGGUUGAGGUAAUGGCUCACCAAGGCGGCGAUCAGUAGCUGGUCUGAGAGGAUGAUCAGCCACAUUGGGACUGAGACACGGCCCAAACUCCUACGGGAGGCAGCAGUGGGGAAUCUUGCGCAAUGGGCGAAAGCCUGACGCAGCCAUGCCGCGUGAAUGAUGAAGGUCUUAGGAUUGUAAAAGUCUUUCACCGGGGACGAUAAUGACGGUACCCGGAGAAGAAGCCCCGGCUAACUUCGU